AGCGAACGCUGGCGGCAGGCUUAACACAUGCAAGUCGAGCGCCCCGCAAGGGGAGCGGCAGACGGGAUAGUAACACGUGGGAACGUACCCUUCAGUUCGGAACAACCCAGGGAAACUUGGGCUAAUACCGGAUACGUCCGUAAGGAGAAAGAUUUAUCGCUGAAGGAUCGGCCCGCGUCUGAUUAGCUAGUUGGUGAGGUAACGGCUCACCAAGGCGACGAUCAGUAGCUGGUCUGAGAGGAUGAUCAGCAUCACUGGGACUGAGACACGGCCCAGACUCCUACGGGAGGCAGCAGUGGGGAAUAUUGGACAAUGGGCGCAAGCCUGAUCCAGCCAUGCCGCGUGGAUGAUGAAGGCCUUAGGGUUGUAAAGUCCUUUUAACGGGGAAGAUAAUGACGGUACCCGUAGAAUAAGCCCCGGCUAACAUCGUGCCAGCCGCCGCCGUAACAC
rnacentral:rRNA from 1 species